CUGAACUCCAAGGAGAUCGGGAUAAAAAUGACAGAAUUUGCCGGGAAGAAGGAGUGAGUCUGAGCAAAGAGGAAGGUGCAGGGUUGCUUCUGGAGCCCUAGACAGAAGAAAGAGAAAGCACAGCCCAUCGGUGACAUUAAUAUUAACACGUAC